ensembl:snRNA U6 U6 spliceosomal RNA
CUGCUCGCUUUGGCAGCACACACCCUCAAACUGGAACAACACAGAGAUUAGCAUGGCUGCUGCACAAGGAUGAUAUGCAAAUUCAUGAAGAAUUCCCUAUUUUU